ensembl:lincRNA
AUGUUGGAGCGUUUCAUAUUGUCCUGGAGGUCUCUGAGAUUGUCCUCGUUUCUUUUAAUUCGUUUUUCUUGUUUCCUCUCUGAUUCAUUUAUUUCUACCAUUCUAUCUUCUAUUUCACUAAUCCUAUCUUCUGCCUCCGUUAUUCUACUAUUUGUUGCCUCCAGAGUGUUUCUGAUCUCAUUUUUUGUUAUUUCUUGGAUAAUUAUUCAUUUUGGUAUAAAUCCUGAUAGUGGGGGAAGUCCUCCUAUUGAUAGGAGGGUAAUGAGGACUAGAAUUGUUAUGAUGGGUGCUUUAUUUCAUGUGUGUGAUAAUGAUAGGGUGGUUGUGGUUGAGUUGGCUAUAAAUAGUGUAAAUAUGGUAGAGGUUAUAAUGAUAUAAAUAAUUAGGUUUAGUAGUGUUAUGGUGGGAUUAUAUAGUAAAACUGCUGUUAUUCAGCCUAUGUGGGCAAUUGAUGAAUAGGCUAUAAUUUUUCGUAGUUGGGUUUGGUUCAGUCCUCCUCAGCCUCCGAUUGUAAUAGAUAGAAUUGAUAGGGUUAGGAUCAGGUCUAGGUUGAUGGAUGGAAGGAUUUGGUAAAGUACUGACAUGGGUGCUAGUUUUUGUCAUGUGAGUAAGAUUAGGCCUGAGGAUAGGGGAAUGCCUUGUGUUACUUCUGGGACUCAGAAGUGGAAUGGGGCUAUACCUAGUUUUAUAGCGAGGGCUAUUGUUAUGAGUAUGGAGGCUAUUGGAUUAAAUAGUUUUAUUACGGUUCAUUGGCCUGAGAAUAUUAAGUUAAUGAUAAUGGCUAUUAUUAGUAGUAUUGAGGCUGUUGAUUGAGUUAGGAAAUAUUUGGUUGAUGCUUCUGUGGCUCGUGGGGUGUGCUUUUUUUUUUUAAUGGGAAUAAUAGCAAGUAUAUUUAUUUCAAAUCCAAUUCAGAUGAGCAAUCAGUGGGUGCUAAUCAUAACGAUAAUGGUUCCAAGUAUAACGGUUAUUAGAAUAAUAAUGAGGAUAAUUGGAUUUAUUAGUACGGGAAGGAUAUGAACCAACAUUUUCGGGGUAUGGGCCCGAUAGCUUAAUUAGCUGACCUUACUAUUAGAAUUUGGGGGAAUUGGGAGCAUGAAGAGUUUUGGGUUCUUAGGAGUAGGUUCAAUUCCUAUAGUUCUAGAAAUAAGAGGAUUUAAACCUCUAUUAUUUACUCUAUCAAAGUAACUCUUUUGUCAGACAUAUUACUUAUGUUUGUGGGGGGAUGCUUGAUAGGAGAAUGGGUAGUGAUACGUGUCAUAUGCAUAGGGCUAGUGUUAGGGGUAGGAAGCUUUUUCAUAAUAAGUGUAUUGGGGGUAGGAUGCUCAGAUUCAUAGGAAAGUAAUUGUGAGUAGUAGUGAUUUGAUGGUGAAGUUAAUUGUGUACAGUUCUGGUAUGUAUGGGCUGUGGAAUGCUCAUAAGAAGAGGGUUGUUGUGAAGAUAUUUAUUAUGAAAAUGUUUGCAUAUUCUGCUAUGAAGAAUAGGGCGAAUGGCCCUGCGGCAUAUUCUACGUUUAAAGCCUGAUACUAGUUCAGAUUCUCCUUCGGUAAGGUCAAAUGGUGCUCGGUUUGUUUCUGCUAAAACACUUCUUUGUGUCUUAGCUUAGACAUCGCUUUUUUGUUUGCUUAUGCUUGCUAUCCUUCUUAAAAAAAAAAAAAAAAGAGAGAAAGAGGGAGAGGGUUAUACAAUUGCAUUUUAGCUAAGUGGAAUUAGGGUUAUAUAGAAAUUAUUUUCUAUAGUAUAUGAAUUAGAACUUUUAAAAUGAAGAUUUCUGUUUAAUAAUAUCAAAAGGUUCUAAAUUACUUAGAAUAUCCUCAAAUCACAAAAUCAUAAAUACA